CUCCGGGAAACUGGAGAUAAUUCCGAAUAAACCAUUAUUGCUGGAAUGCUUUUUGGUUCAAAGACUUCGGUUGCCUAAGGAUGGAUCUGCGGUCUAUCAGGUAGUAGUGGGUGUAAAGUACCUACUAGCCUACGACGGAUAUGGGUUGUGAGAGCAAGAGCCCAGAGAUGGAUUCUGAGACAUGAAUCCAGGCCCUACGGGGCGCAGCAGGCGCGAAAACUUUACAAUGCGGGAAACCGCGAUAAGGGGACACCGAGUGCCAGCAUAUUAUGUUGGCUGUCCACAUGUGUAAACGGCAUGUGUUAGCAAGGGCCGGGCAAGACCGGUGCCAGCCGCCGCGGUAACACCGGCGGCCCGAGUGGUAAUCACUUUUAUUGGGUCUAAAGGGUCCGUAGCCGGUUUGAUCAGUUCUUCGGGAAAUCUGACAGCUCAACUGUUAGGCUUCCGGGGAAUACUGUCAGACUUGGGACCGGGAGAGGUAAGAGGUACUACAGGGGUAGGAGUGAAAUCUUGUAAUCCCUGUGGGACCACCAGUGGCGAAGGCGUCUUACCAGAACGGGUCCGACGGUGAGGGACGAAAGCUGGGGGCACGAACCGGAUUAGAUACCCGGGUAGUCCCAGCCGUAAACGAUGUUCGCUAGGUGUCAGGGACGGUGCGACCGUUUCUGGUGCCGCAGGGAAGCCGUGAAGCGAACCACCUGGGAAGUACGGCCGCAAGGCUGAAACUUAAAGGAAU
rnacentral:rRNA from 1 species